rnacentral:rRNA from 1 species
UACGAAGGGGGCUAGCGUUGUUCGGAAUCACUGGGCGUAAAGCGCUCGUAGGCGGAUCUUUUAAGUCAGAGGUGAAAUCCCAAGGCUCAACCUUGGAACUGCCUUUGAUACUGGGGAUCUCGAGUCCGGGAGAGGUGAGUGGAACUGCGAGUGUAGAGGUGAAAUUCGUAGAUAUUCGCAAGAACACCAGUGGCGAAGGCGGCUCACUGGCCCGGUACUGACGCUGAGGAGCGAAAGCCAGGGGAGCAAAGCGG